rnacentral:rRNA from 1 species
GAUGAACGCUGGCGGCGUGCCUAAUACAUGCAAGUCGAGCGAACAGACGAGGAGCUUGCUCCUCUGACGUUAGCGGCGGACGGGUGAGUAACACGUGGAUAACCUACCUAUAAGACUGGGAUAACUUCGGGAAACCGGAGCUAAUACCGGAUACUAUAUUGAACCGCAUGGUUCAAUAGUGAAAGACGGUUUUGCUGUCACUUAUAGAUGGAUCCGCGCCGCAUUAGCUAGUUGGUAAGGUAACGGCUUACCAAGGCAACGAUGCGUAGCCGACCUGAGAGGGUGAUCGACCACACUGGAACUGAGACACGGUCCAGACUCCUACGGGAGGCAGCAGUAGGGACUCUUCCGCAAUGGGCGAAAGCCUGACGGAGCAACGCCGCGUGAGUGAUGAAGGUCUUCGGAUCGUAAAACUCUGUUAUUAGGGAAGAACAAAUGUGUAAGUAACUAUGCACGUCUUGACGGUACCUACUCAGAAAGCCACGGCUAACUACGUG